GUAAAAGUCGUAACAAGGUUUCCGUAGGUGAACCUGCGGAAGGAUCAUUACCUAGAGUUGUAGGCUUUGCCUGCUAUCUCUUACCCAUGUCUUUUGAGUACCUUCGUUUCCUCGGCGGGUCCGCCCGCCGAUUGGACAAUUUAAACCAUUUGCAGUUGCAAUCAGCGUCUGAAAAAACUUAAUAGUUACAACUUUCAACAACGGAUCUCUUGGUUCUGGCAUCGAUGAAGAACGCAGCGAAAUGCGAUAAGUAGUGUGAAUUGCAGAAUUCAGUGAAUCAUCGAAUCUUUGAACGCACAUUGCGCCCCUUGGUAUUCCAUGGGGCAUGCCUGUUCGAGCGUCAUUUGUACCUUCAAGCUCUGCUUGGUGUUGGGUGUUUGUCUCGCCUCUGCGUGUAGACUCGCCUCAAAACAAUUGGCAGCCGGCGUAUUGAUUUCGGAGCGCAGUACAUCUCGCGCUUUGCACUCAGAACGACGACGUCCAAAAGUACAUUUUUACACUCUUGACCUCGGAUCAGGUAGGGAUACCCGCUGAACUUAAGCAUAUCAAUAA
rnacentral:misc_RNA from 1 species